rnacentral:rRNA from 1 species
CGAGCACGCGCGUGUGGCAUAUCAAUAAGCGGAGGAAAAGAAACUAACAAGGAUUCCCUUAGUAACGGCGAGUGAAGCGGGAAGAGCUCAAAUUUGAAAUCUUCAAGGUUCUACCUUGACGAAUUGUAGUUUAUAGAAGUGUUUUCUGUUAGUAGGAGUGGCAAAAGUUCUUUGGAAUAGGACAUCAUAGAGGGUGAGAAUCCCGUAUUUGGUCAUUCCUCCUAGCGUUGUGAUACACUUUCAACGAGUCGGAUUGUUUGGGAAUGCAGUCCAAAAUGGGUGGUAAAUUUCAUCUAAAGCUAAAUAUAGGCGAGAGACCGAUAGCGAACAAGUACCGUGAGGGAAAGAUGAAAAGAACUUUGAAAAGAGAGUUAAACAGUACGUGAAAUUGUCAAAAGGGAAGCGUUUGACACCAGUGUUGUUUUUCCGAAAAUCAAUUACGAAUGUUUUGUUUUUGAGGAGUUAUGACUUAGUCGGCUUGCUCCUUUCUUUACGAAACUUUCUUAAUGCACUUUUCGGUUAACAAGUCAACAUCAAUUUCUUUUGUUGUAAAAGGGUAUGAGGAAGGUGGCUUUCUUUUCGGAGAAAGUGUUUAUAGCCUUGUGCCUCUGCAAUCGGAGAGAUUGAGGUCUGCAGCGUAGAUCCUUCGGGGUUAGAUACGUUUGUGCUAAGUUAUAGCUUUUCAUAGACAACUUGUUGACUAUGUUUAGUCUUGUAGCUUACUCGCUGACGCUAUUUUACCUACGCUUAGGAUGUUGAUGUGAUACUGCGAGCA